rnacentral:sRNA from 1 species
CAUCAAACUGCGCAGGAGUAAGGCAGGAAACCGACGAGAGGACCUCAGCUCCAAGGUGACCUUGGAGAAGGUGCUGGGAAUUACAGUGUCUGGAGGCAGAGGACUUGCCUGUGACCCCCGAUCAGGCUUAGUUGCUUACCCAGCAGGGUGUGUGGUUGUGUUGUUCAAUCCCCGGAAACACAAACAGCACCACAUCCUCAACAGUUCCAGGAAAACCAUCACUGCCCUUGCCUUCUCCCCUGAUGGCAAGUACUUGGUCACUGGAGAGGUCUGGGAUGGGGGUCUGAAAUGUGCAUUUGUAACAAGUUCCCAGAGAGUGCUGAUGCUGCUGGUGAAGGAAGCGUGCUUUGGAAACCGCUGCCUUAACUAUUCCUUACCCCUGGGGGCCCCCUGCUGGGCUCAGGAGGAACGCUUCUGUCCCGGCGGCAUAGUCUUACUAGGGGCAGAAGUAGACCUGAGUGGUAGUGGCUCUCCAUGCCGGCUGCCCAUCAGAACCAUUCAGGGAGCUUUGAACAACCCGAAGUAUAGACGGCCACCCAGAGAU